rnacentral:lncRNA from 1 species
ACUGCACUGCGUCCGCCCUCUUUGUUUCUGUCUCAGUCUCUCUGUCUCCCUUCGUUCUCUUUCUCUCCCCCUGCUACCCCCCCCCACAGUUACACACACACACACACACACACACACACACACACACACACACACGCAGUGUGAAAGAUGCGAGCCAUAGCAUCUCGUAACAUGAAGGCCAUCCAGCUCCAUCCUCCCACUGCUGCUUGAACAAUAUGCUUAACACGUAGUGCCGCAGUCGCUGCUUGGAUUGAAUGUGUUCAUGCACAGAUUUUAUCAUCUUGUUACUCAAACGACUGAUGGCUUCUGACCCUGCCUGAAAAUUUCCUAAGAGGUAACAGUUCUAGGACACAGAGCUCUAUGGGCUAUGUUGAGGAAGCUGCUUACAGACGAAAUUGACAGCAUGAAGAAAGGUGUGGUCCUUACAAGUAUAGGGCCUAUAUUAAUGAAGUAGCCAGGCAUAGCUUCAGCCAGGAGACUGAAGCACCAGAUGCUGGAGGGAGUGGAGGAAGAAGUUUAAUUACCACAUACAGCUCUUCCAUAUGCAAGGUCUCUGGGGCAAAACUGUCAUUCUGUCUGAAGCCAGACCCUCAAUGUCAGACUAAGAGAGUCGGAUGGAGACUACAUCUUCUGUGUGUGUUGCAAUGGGAGGACUUCUCUCCACCGAGUUUAGUGAGGGGGUAGCAGAGGUGGAAGAGCAGACAGAUGUGGCAAUAUGGUGAUAAGGUGAACCCUACACAGGUCUGCUCACCACAAGGAGGCAGAAAGCAGGAAAAGCAGAAAGUGCCAAAGGAGAGGAUAUACAAGAUGUCUUAAUGAGGAGUUACUGAUCCAGUCAUGGCCAGUGCAACACUGUCUCACAUGUCUGAAUGCUGUGCUGCACUGUUGACUGUCACUGUUGGGGAUAUUGGAAGAUCACAAGAAACUCCUGAUCCUGAAUACUGGCCUGAGCCUCUUUUGGAAGAGGCCUUCCAGAACCCUACUCUUGCUAGAACUGAAUGCCAGAGCUGUGUAAUGGGGACAUCCUGUUGUGAACUUAUGUCCUUUCUGGACAAAUGUAUUCAAUUUGAGGCAGCAUGCCCAAUGGUUAGCCACUCAACCUCUGAACCCAAACCCCCAGCUCUACUGCUUAAUAGCUAUAUAACCUUGAGAAAAUUCAUUAAUAUUCCUGUACUUCAAUUUUAUCAUGUAUAAAAUAAGGAUAAUAAUUUUACAUGUCUUAUGGGGUUGUUAUGAUGAUUAAAUGGGUUAACAUUUCUAAAAAAUACUUGAACAGUGCCUGAUACAUUGUAAAUGCAUAUAUAUGUGUUUUUAAAAAUAGACAAUUAUAUACCAUUAAAUGUUAACCUGGCUUUGAUGCAGCUAGUUGAUCAAAUAAUCUAAAUCUUUGUAAUUGGAUAGUAAUAGAAAAGAAGGAAGAGAAAGAGAAUAUGCAUGUUUACAAAAGCAAAAGCCUAGGCUUUGGAUGUGGUGAGGACAGACAUCUCUGAGAUGUCCUUAAUUUUAUCCACUUCCAUUGAAUGUUAUUUGCGUUCACCUCUUGUGCAAAAUAAGAACCAAAAGGGAGUCUUCCUUAUUAU